GUGGGGAAUAUUGGACAAUGGGCGAAAGCCUGAUCCAGCCAUGCCGCGUGUGUGAAGAAGGUCUUCGGAUUGUAAAGCACUUUAAGUUGGGAGGAAGGGUAGUAACCUAAUACGUUGCUACUUUGACGUUACCGACAGAAUAAGCACCGACUAACUUCGUGCCAGCAGCCGCGGUAAUACGAAGGGUGCAAGCGUUAAUCGGAAUUACUGGGCGUAAAGCGCGCGUAGGUGGUUCAGUAAGUUGGAAGUGAAAUCCCCGGGCUCAACCUGGGAACUGCUUUCAAAACUGCUGAGCUAGAGUACGGUAGAGGGUGGUGGAAUUUCCUGUGUAGCGGUGAAAUGCGUAGAUAUAGGAAGGAACACCAGUGGCGAAGGCGACCACCUGGACUGAUACUGACACUGAGGUGCGAAAGCGUGGGGAGCAAACAGGAUUAGAAACCCGUGUAGUCC
rnacentral:rRNA from 1 species